rnacentral:rRNA from 1 species
GACGAACGCUGGCGGCGUGCUUAACACAUGCAAGUCGAACGGAAAGGCCCUGCUUUUGUGGGGUGCUCGAGUGGUGAACGGGUGAGUAACACGUGAGUAACCUGCCCUUGACUUUGGGAUAACUUCAGGAAACUGGGGCUAAUACCGGAUAGGAGCUCCUGCUGCAUGGUGGGGGUUGGAAAGUUUCGGCGGUUGGGGAUGGACUCGCGGCUUAUCAGCUUGUUGGUGGGGUAGUGGCUUACCAAGGCUUUGACGGGUAGCCGGCCUGAGAGGGUGACCGGCCACAUUGGGACUGAGAUACGGCCCAGACUCCUACGGGAGGCAGCAGUGGGGAAUAUUGCACAAUGGGCGGAAGCCUGAUGCAGCAACGCCGCGUGCGGGAUGACGGCCUUCGGGUUGUAAACCGCUUUCGCCUGUGACGAAGCGCGAGUGACGGUAAUGGGUAAAGAAGCACCGGCUAACUACGUG